GCCCCGGUGGCGAAACUGGUAGACGCUGCGGACUUAAAAUCCGCUGGCCCAAAGCCGUUCGGGUUCGAGUCCCGACCGGGGCAC
rnacentral:tRNA from 1 species